AUACGUAGGUGGCGAGCGUUGUCCGGAAUUACUGGGUGUAAAGGGCGUGUAGGCGGGGAUGCAAGUCAGAUGUGAAAUUCCGGGGCUCAACCCCGGCACUGCAUCUGAAACUGUGUCUCUUGAGUGCUGGAGAGGAAAGUGGAAUUCCUAGUGUAGCGGUGAAAUGCGUAGAGAUUAGGAGGAACACCAGUGGCGAAGGCGACUUUCUGGACAGUAACUGACGCUGAGGCGCGAGAGCGUGGGGAGCAAACAGGAUUAGAUACCCUGGUAGUCCACGCCGUAAACGAUGGAUACUAGGUGUAGGAGGUAUCGACCCCUUCUGUGCCGGAGUUAACACAAUAAGUAUCCCACCUGGGGAGUACGGCCGCAAGGCUGAA
rnacentral:rRNA from 1 species